CAGUCGCCGCGGGAAUACGAAGGGGGCUAGCGUUGUUCGGAUUUACUGGGCGUAAAGCGCACGUAGGCGGACGCUUGAGUCAGGGGUGAAAUCCCGAGGCUCAACCUCGGAACUGCCUUUGAUACUGGGCGUCUUGAGUCCGGAAGAGGUGAGUGGAACUGCGAGUGUAGAGGUGAAAUUCGUAGAUAUUCGCAAGAACACCAGUGGCGAAGGCGGCUCACUGGUCCGGAACUGACGCUGAGGUGCGAAAGCGUGGGGAGCAAACAGGAUUAGAUACCCCCGUAGUCCCUGUCUCUUAUAC
rnacentral:rRNA from 1 species